rnacentral:rRNA from 1 species
AGCGACUGUGCAGGUUACCGCGGCUGCUGGCACGGAGUUAGCCGGUGCUUCUUCUGUGAGUGAUGUCCUUCCUGCCGGCUAUUAACCCGCAGGCCUUCUUCCUCACUGAAAGUGCUUUACAACCCGAAGGCCUUCUUCACACACGCGGCAUGGCUGGAUCAGGGUUGCCCCCAUUGUCCAAUAUUCCCCACUGCUGCCUCCCGUAGGAGUCUGGGCCGUGUCUCAGUCCCAGUGUGGCUGAUCAUCCUCUCAGACCAGCUACGGAUCGUCGCCUUGGUGAGCCGUUACCUCACCAACCAGCUAAUCCGACAUAGGCUCAUCCGAUAGCGCGAGGCCCGAAGGUCCCCCGCUUUCCCCCCGUAGGGCGUAUGCGGUAUUAGCCUGGGUUUCCCCAGGUUAUCCCCCACUACCGGGCAGAUUCCUAUGCAUUACUCACCCGUCCGCCGCUCGCCACCAGGGAGCAAGCUCCCCGUGCUGCCGCUCGACUUGCAUGUGUUAGGCCUGCCGCCAGCGUUCAA